rnacentral:lncRNA from 1 species
GAUCAGAGGCCGCACUCAUCGUAGCAGAGAGGCAGGACCAACUGGGAGAGGGUCAUUCUGUGACACCUACUGCAUCACCGGGCUGUGUGAAGUGACUCAGCUGCCAGAACUCACACAAUAUCAUUCUACACCAAAACCUCACGGGAAAAAUGCUCCCCGACCCUCAGACUUAAACAGCAGCACUGGCUCCUCCCCAGAUCUCCAGCUCCCUGACCCUCAAACUCCAACUGCAGCACCAGCUCCACCUGGGUCUCCAGCUCCAUGAUCCUCAAACUACAACAGCAGCACCAGCUCCCCCGUGGAUCUCCAGCUCAAUGACUCUCAGACUUGGGAGGUGGCACUGGCUCCCAACCAAGGCUCCAGCUCCACAAACCUCAAACUAGAACAGCAGCACCAGCUACUCCCUGGGUCUCCAGCUCCCUCAAACUUCAACUAUAGCACUGGCUCUUCCCUGGGGCCACCAGCUCCACAACCCUCAACUUACACGGUGGUAGCACCAGCUCCUCCCCAGGUCUCCAGCUCCACGACCAUCAAACUUGAACUGCAACACCAGCUCCUCUUCAGGAAUGAAAAAGCCGAAGACCUUUAGCCUGUCACUGACUAAAGUUUCAAUAUGGCACCUUAAUUCCUUAACGAAGAGAAAGAAUGUAUAUCUUGUGGUAAUGGGGACCAGCAGCUCCAUGAAUCAAAGCUUUCUGUGGCUCGAUCUAGUUCAGAGUCUGAGUGAUACAUUUAAUGUGCCAGCAAAAGCCUCUGGUAAACAGGGAGCAGUGUUACAGCCAGCAGAGCCCAAGAGCUUGCCAGAGCUGAUGGAGAUUGAAGGGAGCAGGUUGGAGCUCCUCCUGAGGCAGAAUGAGAGGAAGGCUCUC